AGGACGAACGCUGGCGGCGUGCUUAACACAUGCAAGUCGAGCGGUAAGGCCUUUCGGGGUACACGAGCGGCGAACGGGUGAGUAACACGUGGGUGAUCUGCCCUGCACUUCGGGAUAAGCCUGGGAAACUGGGUCUAAUACCGGAUAUGACCUCCUAUCGCAUGGUGGGUGGUGGAAAGAUUUAUCGGUGCAGGAUGGGCCCGCGGCCUAUCAGCUUGUUGGUGGGGUAAUGGCCUACCAAGGCGACGACGGGUAGCCGACCUGAGAGGGUGACCGGCCACACUGGGACUGAGACACGGCCCAGACUCCUACGGGAGGCAGCAGUGGGGAAUAUUGCACAAUGGGCGAAAAGCCUGAUGCAGCGACGCCGCGUGAGGGGAUGGAAGGCCUUCGGGGUUGUAAACUGU
rnacentral:rRNA from 1 species